GGGCCGGUAGAUCAGCCUGGUACACAGCAAGCGGUUUGUUACUGCUCCGUAGGGCCGCGGGUUCAAAUCCCGCCCGGUCCACCA
rnacentral:tRNA from 3 species